GACGGGAGCUUGCUCCCUUAGGUCAGCGGCGGACGGGUGAGUAACACGUGGGUAACCUGCCUGUAAGACUGGGAUAACUCCGGGAAACCGGGGCUAAUACCGGAUGCUUGAUUGAACCGCAUGGUUCAAUCAUAAAAGGUGGCUUUUAGCUACCACUUACAGAUGGACCCGCGGCGCAUUAGCUAGUUGGUGAGGUAACGGCUCACCAAGGCGACGAUGCGUAGCCGACCUGAGAGGGUGAUCGGCCACACUGGGACUGAGACACGGCCCAGACUCCUACGGGAGGCAGCAGUAGGGAAUCUUCCGCAAUGGACGAAAGUCUGACGGAGCAACGCCGCGUGAGUGAUGAAGGUUUUCGGAUCGUAAAA
rnacentral:rRNA from 1 species